UACGGAGGGUGCGAGCGUUAUUCGGAAUCAUUGGGCGUAAAGGGCGCGUAGGCGGCCGGGCAAGUCAGGGGUGAAAUCCCUCGGCUCAACCGAGGAAUUGCCUCUGAAACUGCCCAGCUCGAGGCCGGGAGAGGGUAGUGGAAUUCCCAGUGUAGCGGUGAAAUGCGUAGAUAUUGGGAGGAACACCAGUGGCGAAGGCGGCUCACUGGUCCGACACUGACGCUGAGGUGCGAAAGCGUGGGGAGCAAACAGG
rnacentral:rRNA from 1 species